UGUACCUGGUGGCGAGCGGCGGACGGGUGAGUAAUGCCUAGGAAUCUGCCUGGUAGUGGGGGAUAACGCUCGGAAACGGACGCUAAUACCGCAUACGUCCUACGGGAGAAAGCAGGGGACCUUCGGGCCUUGCGCUAUCAGAUGAGCCUAGGUCGGAUUAGCUAGUUGGUGAGGUAAUGGCUCACCAAGGCGACGAUCCGUAACUGGUCUGAGAGGAUGAUCAGUCACACUGGAACUGAGACACGGUCCAGACUCCUACGGGAGGCAGCAGUGGGGAAUAUUGGACAAUGGGCGAAAGCCUGAUCCAGCCAUGCCGCGUGUGUGAAGAAGGUCUUCGGAUUGUAAAGCACUUUAAGUUGGGAGGAAGGGCAGUUACCUAAUACGUAUCUGUUUUGACGUUACCGACAGAAUAAGCACCGGCUAACUCUGUGC
rnacentral:rRNA from 1 species